GGCAAACAGAACUCACUACAGAGUUCUAAAAAGCAAGUCCUUAUGCUUUCAUUGAAGAUUAUGUGAAAGUGUGGAAUCAACACGCUAUGAAAACAGUGUGACAAAACCAAACAUUACUAUGUUGAAACCUUGUCUAGCUUUAACUAAAAAAUAAAAACCAUGAGUCUUCUAUAGCAUUAAUUUAAAAAAUACAUAGAAGUGAAAAGUGCUAUUUUUCAAAAAGUACAAUUUUCCUCCCAACUAUAUCAACAUGGAAUGAUUUCAGUUCUCCUUGUACUAAAAGCUGGAAAUCUUACAAAACUAUAUUGCAACAUUUAAUAAGACAAUUUUAAUCAGUAGUGGCUUCUGCUUCCGCUGGACCCCUAAUCAAUCUUCUAAUCCCUCUCUUUCCCGCAGGACCCUUUGGUUUAGCAAAACUCUGCUUAUGUGCAUGCUGCUUGGGAUGGACUUCAUCGUACAGGAAAUCUGCCGUCAGUUCAUCCCCAUUGUCUAUCUCAAUCUUUCUGAUCACAUCCAUCUGCAGUUGUCUUUCUACAAUAUCUAACAGAGGGCUCUUGCAGCUGGAAUACAGCAUCCGCUCUCUUAUGCUGCACGUGUAUCCGGGCAUUGAAUAAAUAAAAACUACGGACUCUAAGUAGUCUCCUUCGUGGGAAUGCUUAUACAGAAAGAAAUGGUAGCGUGCUGAAUCCUUGGGAAUCCUCUUUGGCAAAUCUUUUAGUUCUGUAUUUUCUGUGUUGGCCAAAAUUAUUGUUUCAUUUUUUAUAUCUAUUUCCAACUGCACAUAGUUGAGCUGUCUCUUACUCAGUUUUUCCAAAGCCUGGAAGGCAUCUCGAGAAAUAGGAAAUGCUACUCCUUGUAGUGUCUGAUGCUUUGUGUCCACACUCACGUCAGUUUGUACCUCACUGAUUUUAAUCUGCCUUAAUUCUUCCUCUGCUGCAGUCAGAGGGGCAGGAGAAGACUGGGAGAGAAGAUACUUUCUAUAUCCAUGUAGUGAUACGUCCUCCUUUACUGUUCCAAACACUUCAUCUUUAAUGUGGCCACCUCCAAAUUCUUUUUUCAGAGUUGCUCUUGUUGCCGCAUACAGCAUUUUUUGACGAACCUGAAUAACACAUAGCACGGUUGCUUGUCCUCCAGCAGGGGCAAGACAAAGGGAUCGUAAUCCUGUUCCCAGGAAUCUGAAGGCGGACUACAGGACCCGACCACCAGUUGCUCAUUUUCAAUCGAUAUUUUUAGAAGUCGGUAUUUCCCAUUUCUGGCUCUGGCAAAGAUCUCUUUGACGUCUUCACUUGCUUGGAUGCCGGUCUGGUGGGACAUGGCGACGGCCGCGGGUUCCCGGCUCCGGC
ensembl:lncRNA